rnacentral:lncRNA from 1 species
AUGCGUGGGUGGCCACUGGCCCCACGGCCACCCUGGGAGCCCAGUCCUGAUGGUCCGGAGGUCCCAAAUCCCCUGACCGCUUCCUCCGUUGCCCUCCAGCAUCCUGCCCUGGUCCCCGUCUCUGCACCCAGGCUCCAGCCCCGCGUCCACAGCCGGGAUUUCGGCCCCGGCGUGGUACCCGAUGCAGCUCGCCGGCACGGGAUGGGAGUCCAUGCCCCGGCGCCCACCCCCCAUCCCUGCCCCGCCGCGGGGCUGCUCGCCGGAGCGGCCGCUCACCCAGCGCUGCGAGGAGCACCGCGAGGAAGACGAGGCUCCCGCUGUCCCGGGCGCCCUGCGACAUGGUGGUUGUUGUUACCGGCCGGCUCYGAGCCGCAUGGGAAGGCUGGCGGUGCGUGGGGCCCGGCGGUCCGUGCCGAAGGGUGCCGGGAGGAUGGGUGCCGAGGUUUAAGAGCAAGCAGAGCCGAACGGUGCCGGCGGUGCCCCGGCCUUGGGCCAAUGGGCGCCGGGCAGCCGGGGCGGUGGGGGCCAGAGGGUGCCGGCCACCCCGAGCUGAAAGGGGGCAUUUUGUUUGGUGUUCGGCGAGGAGGGGAAAACAUGUGGCAGGCGGGGAGUUGGGCACACAGCGCCCUUUGUCCGGCCGCAUUCCCUGCCGCGGCGGAGGCGGCUCAGCAGGAAUGCGGCCGGAGUCGGAGAGCAAGGGUGCACGGACGCACGGACGCGUGGACGCGGAGCCACUCGGCUCUGCCACAAGUUGGAGCAUCCUGGGACACAACRCUGGCCGGCCGCCACCCCUGGGCUUGGUCCCCGCAGGUGGAUAGACACACAGACCCUGGCCUCAUCCAGAUUGCGGAGCCUGGACCGUGCUGCGGGUCCCCAGCGCUUCCCAGCACCCUGCGUGUGCAAGGGCCAUGGGGCAGGGGGUGUCCAGGGUCACCAUCCGGCUCUGGGCAUCCUCCAGCACCCCUAGGUCUGCAGUCCUACCCCAUCACGUGGGGCUUUCCAGCAGCACUGCUAGCUACAACCAAGCAGACUCUCAAGAGACUCUGCUCCAGCUCCAUUUUGGGGUGA